rnacentral:misc_RNA from 1 species
CCACCCUCAGGCCCCGCCUGGUGUUGGGGACCUGCGCCCUGCGCAGCCCCCUAAAGACAGCGGCGGUACCGGCCCGGUCCCGAGCGUAGUAGCACACGUCGCUCUGGGCGCCGGGCGAGUGCCCGCCGUAAAACCCCCGACCUACAGAAGG